GCUGGGAUGGCGGAACUGGCAUACGCGAUGGCCUUAGGAGCCAUUGGGAGCAAUCCCUUGGGAGUUCAAAUCUCCCUCCCAGCA
rnacentral:tRNA from 1 species